ACUCCUACGGGAGGCAGCAGUGGGGAAUUUUGGACAAUGGGGGCAACCCUGAUCCAGCCAUGCCGCGUGAGUGAAGAAGGCCUUCGGGUUGUAAAGCUCUUUCGGCCGGGAAGAAAUCGCAUCAGCUAAUACCUGGUGUGGAUGACGGUACCGGAAUAAGAAGCACCGGCUAACUACGUGCCAGCAGCCGCGGUAAUACGUAGGGUGCGAGCGUUAAUCGGAAUUACUGGGCGUAAAGCGUGCGCAGGCGGUUUGAUAAGACAGGCGUGAAAUCCCCGGGCUUAACCUGGGGACUGCGCUUGUGACUGUCUCACUAGAGUACGGCAGAGGGGGGUGGAAUUCCACGUGUAGCAGUGAAAUGCGUAGAGAUGUGGAGGAACACCGAUGGCGAAGGCAGCCCCCUGGGCCGAUACUGACGCUCAUGCACGAAAGCGUGGGGAGCAAACAGGAUUAGAUACCCUGGUAGUCCACGCCCUAAACGAUGUCAACUAGGUGUUGGGUGGGUAAAACCAUUUAGUACCGUAGCUAACGCGUGAAGU
rnacentral:rRNA from 1 species